ensembl:lncRNA
CUCCAGAGCUGUAGUCUCUCUCUCUAGCUCUGCUCAGGUCGAAGGAGCAUCGCGCAGACGGACAGAACCAGACGGACAUUACCAAGUUAUACAAGAAUCAAAUAUGACAAAACCGAAGGCAAUGGGAGACUGUCCCAUUUGCCUGAAAGCACUACAAUUUGUGGCAAAGCAUCUAAGGGAGAUCCAUUCCCUCCACAACAACCGGGAGAGGGGCAUCCUAAACUUCCUGGCCACAGGCAGGACUUUGAUCCCCGCCAGACCCUGCUCCCUUCCCGGAUGUUCGCCCCAUCUCCUCUGCGUGGAGAAACAUCUUAGGACUCAUAAUGAGCUUCGCAAGGGAAACGUGAAUCGGGAGAUCAAGGCCCUCAAGCGUGCCACAGCCAUAAAACAGCUGGCGGCCUUGAGGGCCACUGAUCCCCAUCCACCCAUCGUAAGCACGCUCGACCAGACGGAGGACCAGCAGUCUGACCCGGAGGCGGGAGUAAGCAUGUGCAAGAAGCGCACUUGCGUCAAUGCCCGCCUCCGGGUCCGUGAGCAAGAAAGGGAGCUGGCAGACCUCCGUACUAGGUUGGUCCAGCUCCAGGCCAAGCGCCGGCCUCGACGUGCCUCGACAUUCCUCAUCAUGUGUUGCAUCUUUACAGACACUUACCUUGAGGAGUAUGCAAAAUACCUUUUCUGCCCGGAAGGGACAAAGAAGAUGAAAGAACAGCGUGUCGAAGGCCAGCCGAGCAAAGGUGUUCCUCAAAUUCUUGACGCUCGACUGGCCUUCGAUCAAAUAUUGGACAUGGCAAUUUAUCUUUAAUAUCCCCCUCAUAAAGACCGGAUAUGAAAGCGGCGGCCCCCAGGGACCCAAAGACCCACUGCAGAUUAUUUGGGUACCUGGUGGCCUACCUCUCAUCAAUUUACGGGCACAGGUCGGGGGUGCUGACCAGAAUGAGAGUGAAGGAGGUCCAGGACGCCAUCGGGGACAGUGAGAAGGGCUACCUCAUUAAUGCAAGUAUCCUUUUACUCACCUUGGGUCCUUUUCUACAGGCCCCAAGUUGAGGGGGGGGGGGGGGGGGGGGGGGGGGGGUGGCUCUGUUGCACACUUACGAAUUGGCUGACAUCUCUGCCUCCUGUCUUUGUCUUCUGCAGCUCAUGGAGCACAAGACCGUGAGGAAGUUUGGGGUGGCCCAGGUCUAUUUGGAGUCAGACGAGUACGGGUGGUGCAGGGAGUGGCUCUGCCUGCGGCUGCCCUCCCUGCCCCAGAACUCGUACUUUUUCACGUCCUUUGGAAGGGGGGAGCCAAAGGACCUCAUAAAGUACUUCCGUCAAGCUUGGGGGGAGAUGGGCCUCCCCGGGUCUCCAAGCUUGACGGACAUCCGUUCAGCCGUGGCCACAUACGUGAGUAUCAAAAACACGUGAUAAGGAAUUGGUCAAUUUGGUGCAUUUUGCUUCCGUUACGCACAUUCGAUGCAAACACAUUCUUGUUUGUAAUUGCCCCUCUUUUUCUUUGUUUGUAGAACUUGGAGACCAACCACUCAGAGGUCCGCAGGAACAUGAGUGAAUUCAUGUGCCACGACGUCCACACUUGUGGAGCGCAUAAAAGCGCUCCACAAGACAUUGCCACGGGCCAAGCAGAUGAGGGACCUCUUCGUCUGCUUGGCCCAGCAGGAGCCUUCACCCGCUCCUGCUGGCUCCUCCUCCCCCGCUCCUGCUGGCUCCUCCUCCCCCGCUCCUGCUGGCUCCUCCUCCCCCGUUCCUGCUGGCUCCUCCUCCCCCGCUCCUGCUGGCUCCUCCUCCUCCUCCUCCACUCGUGCUGGCUCUAUUAAGAAGAGGCUAAGGCCCUCUGUGGCCCAACGGUUGGCAAGAAAGGUGAAGGAGAGAGUGGGGAUUUCUCCCCGAAAGAGCAGGAGGAGGGCAGUCAUUGUCCUGAAAAAACUAGAGUAGUUCAGUUCAGUUAUAUAUAUUUAUUAUUCGUGUUGUGUUUCAGUUCUAUAUAUUUAUUCAUGUUAUGUUUAAGUUCUUAAUAUUUAUUCAUGUUCCGUGUUUUAGUUAUAUAUAUUUAUUCAUGUUAUGUUCAAGUUCUUAAUAUUUAUUCAUGUUCCGUGUUUUAGUUAUAUAUAUAUUCAUGUUGUGUUUUAGUUAUAUAUAUAUAUAUAUGUAUUCAUGUUCCUUGUUCUGUUUCAAUAAAAAAAACAUUUGGAA